GAUGAACGCUGGCGGCGUGCCUAACACAUGCAAGUCGAACGAAGCGACUGGAGGAAGUUUUCGGAUGGAAUCCGGUUGACUGAGUGGCGGACGGGUGAGUAACGCGUGGAUAACCUGCCUCACACUGGGGGAUAACAGUUAGAAAUGGCUGCUAAUACCGCAUAAGCGCACAGUACCGCAUGGUACGGUGUGAAAACCCAGGUGGUGUGAGAUGGAUCCGCGUCUGAUUAGCCAGUUGGCGGGGUAACGGCCCACCAAAGCGACGAUCAGUAGCCGACCUGAGAGGGUGACCGGCCACAUUGGGACUGAGACACGGCCCAA
rnacentral:rRNA from 1 species